rnacentral:rRNA from 1 species
GGGGGGUAGAAUUCCAGGUGUAGCGGUGAAAUGCGUAGAGAUCUGGAGGAAUACCGGUGGCGAAGGCGGCCCCCUGGACAAAGACUGACGCUCAGGUGCGAAAGCGUGGGGAGCAAACAGGAUUAGAUACCCUGGUAGUCCACGCCGUAAACGAUGUCGAUUUGGAGGUUGUGCCCUUGAGGCGUGGCUUCCGGAGCUAACGCGUUAAAUCGACCGCCUGGGGAGUACGGCCGCAAGGUUAAAACUCAAAUGAAUUGACGGGGGCCCGCACAAGCGGGGGAGCAUGUGGUUUAAUUCGAUGCAACGCGAAGAACCUUACCUGGUCUUGACAUCCACAGAACUUUCCAGAGAUGGAUUGGUGCCUUCGGGAACUGUGAGACAGGUGCUGCAUGGCUGUCGUCAGCUCGUGUUGUGAAAUGUUGGGUUAAGUCCCGCAACGAGCGCAACCCUUAUCCUUUGUUGCCAGCGGUUCGGCCGGGAACUCAAAGGAGACUGCCAGUGAUAAACUGGAGGAAGGUGGGGAUGACGUCAAGUCAUCAUGGCCCUUACGACCAGGGCUACACACGUGCUACAAUGGCAUAUACAAAGAGAAGCGACCUCGCGAGAGCAAGCGGACCUCAUAAAGUAUGUCGUAGUCCGGAUUGGAGUCUGCAACUCGACUCCAUGAAGUCGGAAUCGCUAGUAAUCGUAGAUCAGAAUGCUACGGUGAAUACGUUCCCGGGCCUUGUACACACCGCCCGUCACACCAUGGGAGUGGGUUGCAAAAGAAGUAGGUAGCUUAACCUUCGGGAGGGCGCUUACCACUUUGUGAUUCAUGACUGGGGUGAAGUCGUAACAAGGUAACCGUAGGGGAACCUGCGGUUGGAUCACCUCCUUACCUUAAAGAA